rnacentral:misc_RNA from 1 species
GAUGAAGAGCGCAGCGAAAUGCGAUAAGUAGUGUGAAUUGCAGAAUUCAGUGAAUCAUCGAAUCUUUGAACGCACAUUGCGCCCCUUGGUAUUCCAUGGGGCAUGCCUGUUCGAGCGUCAUUUGUACCUUCAAGCUUUGCUUGGUGUUGGGUGUUUGUCUCGCCUUUGCGUGUAGACUCGCCUUAAAAUAAUUGGCAGCCGGCGUAUUGAUUUCGGAGCGCAGUACAUCUCGCGCUUUGCACUCAUAACGACAGCGUCCAAAAGUACAUUUUACACUCUUGACCUCGGAUCAGGUAGGGAUACCCGCUGAACUUAAGCAUAUCAAUAAGCGGAGGA